ensembl:lncRNA
CUAGAAAUCAAUAGGGGUCUCCCUUCACAGGUGCAAAUCCUGUCAACUGUGGUGAAAGCUGCACUUUUCUCUCCCCACUUCCAGGCUGUCCUUUUUUUUCUGAGGGUAGGAAGACCCUUCAAGGGGAUCUGGACACACUGGAUCACUGGGCUGAGGCCAAUGGGAUGAAGUUCAACAAGACCAAGUAUAACUUGUUACAACAAUCCCAUGCAAUGCUACAGACUUGGGACAGAGUGGUUGAAAGACUGUGUGGAAGAAAUGGACCUAGGGGUGUUGUUUGAAACUUGGCUGAACAUGAGCCAGCAGUGUGCCCAUGCAACCACAAAGGCCAGUGGCAUCCUGACCUGCAUAAGCUCUCCUCUGGAUGUGCUCCAACAAGCCUAUGUCUCUCCUGUACUGAGGACUCCGUAUCUGGAUUUAGAACUCCAGCUGAGGUCUCACCAGCACAGAGUAGAGGGACAGAAUCAUCUCCCUCAACCUUCUUGUUUUGAUGCAGUUUCCUACAGAUGGUAUUGAUCUAUGAAAAAGGAGAAACUGGAAAAAGAAAUCCAAACUUGGUAGCAGAAGAAAGACAUAUAUAUGUAUAAUGUCAUGGUUUUAUGGUUUGUUAAUGGUAUUCCACAUUAGAACAUCAUGUAGUAUACUGGGAGCUAAUGAGUUAAUUCUACAGUUCCAUGGAUUGUUGCUAUUUCUGGACAUGUACAUAUAUAAUGAAUAUAAAAUUUGGAAAAUAGUUGUUCAUUUUGUCAGAAAAUAAUGAUGUAUGAAACUUUUGCUCAUUUUUAAUGGUUUAUAAGAAAUUGAACCUUCAAAAAUAUUUCAAUUAAUGUUAAAAUGACAACUAUUCAUGUUGUUAUAAGCGCUUCAGGUUAAACUGUUUGAAUCAUUAAGUAAGGAGGCUACAAUGAUUUUUAAGAAUGCUUGUGGCAGCGGGGGAAGAAAUAGUUAGACCUAGAGACUUUAAGGAUUAUAACAAGGAAAACUGCACAAAGAAGAAAAGCAAGUAAGUAAAAGAAGAAAGAAAUGCAUAGGAAAUAACAGAGAACUAAGACUAAGUUUAUUCAGAUAUGCUAGACUGUUCAGUAAAUACAAAGACAGGACUCAAUACAAAAUAGUAGUAAAUUGCCAAGUACAGUGAAAAAAAAAAAAAAAAAAAGUAAUCCUGCAGUAAUUUGGAGCAAAUUUCUAUAUGAGCUCUAGAGUAGGUGACUUCUUGUUACAGUAAUUAUUGAAUACAGCUCUUAUUACCAAAAUGAAGAAAAAUAUAUCUGUUAGCUGAUUUUAAAUGGAUUCUCAGGUAUGCAAACUUACACAAGAAAAAGAAAACAACAUCAUAAACUAUUUAAUAUGGAAAAAUAACUUUUCAUUAUCAAUAGCAUCCUGAACAUCCACUUGUCAACAAAGAGUAGUUGAAGUAAAUGGCAGCAAUGUGGAAGAUACAUUAUUUGUUUGCCAGUCUCAUAUUAGAUAUUAAAUGUAAUAACAACGUUACCAUGUUUCUCACUGCAUUUGAAUAACAAAUCCAGAUAUGGCUGGAUUUCUGUGGGAGGACGGUGUCUGCUUCUCUCAUCCACUUACUACUCUGUUACUUUCCUAACUUCAAAUAAAUUUAUUUUAUCUAAUUAUUGAGUGUCUUUGUAAGAGAAAACCAUGUUACCUCAGUGUGGUAGAAACAGCGUGUUACCUCAGUGUGGAAGAAACAUACAAAUGGUACAAAUUGUACAAAAUUGUACAAAAAGUUGAAUAAAAUUGGGAAAUAAUUAGGUAGGGGGAAAAAAAGCAAAACCAAGUAAACAACAACAACAAAAAAGGAACAAAUAACUACUUGAGAUAACUGUACUG